rnacentral:rRNA from 1 species
CCUACGGGAGGCAGCAGUAGGGAAUCUUCCGCAAUGGACGAAAGUCUGACGGAGCAACGCCGCGUGAGUGAUGAAGGUUUUCGGAUCGUAAAACUCUGUUGUUAGGGAAGAAUAAGUACCGUUCGAAUAGGGCGGCACCUUGACGGUACCUAACCAGAAAGCCACGGCUAACUACGUGCCAGCAGCCGCGGUAAU